rnacentral:rRNA from 1 species
UACGAAGGGGGCUAGCGUUGCUCGGAAUCACUGGGCGUAAAGGGUGCGUAGGCGGGUCUUUAAGUCAGGGGUGAAAUCCUGGAGCUCAACUCCAGAACUGCCUUUGAUACUGAAGAUCUUGAGUUCGGGAGAGGUGAGUGGAACUGCGAGUGUAGAGGUGAAAUUCGUAGAUAUUCGCAAGAACACCAGUGGCGAAGGCGGCUCACUGGUCCGGUACUGACGCUGAGGUGCGAAGGCGUGGGGAGCAAACAGG